GUACUCGCUUCGGCGGUACAUAUACUAAAAUUGGAACGAUACAGAGAAGAUUAGCAUGGCCCCUGCGCAAGGAUGACACGCAAAAUCGUGAAGCGUUUUAGUUGGCA
rnacentral:snRNA from 1 species